AACGGGGAGCUUGUGUGACAGGCUGAGAACAGGAUCAUAUUCUGGACCCUUGAACCUGAUUUGGAUAAUGCCAACGUAGGGAUAUUA
rnacentral:ncRNA from 1 species